GUGCUCCCUCUGGCAGCACAUACACUAAAACUGGAACAGUACAGAGAUUAGCAUGGCCCCCAUGUGAGAAUGACAAACAAAGUGUAAAGCAGUCCGUAUGUUUU
rnacentral:snRNA from 1 species